rnacentral:rRNA from 1 species
CAGUAGCCGCGGUAAUACAGAGGGUGCGAGCGUUAAUCGGAUUUACUGGGCGUAAAGCGUGCGUAGGCGGCUUUUUAAGUCGGAUGUGAAAUCCCUGAGCUUAACUUAGGAAUUGCAUUCGAUACUGGGAAGCUAGAGUAUGGGAGAGGAUGGUAGAAUUCCAGGUGUAGCGGUGAAAUGCGUAGAGAUCUGGAGGAAUACCGAUGGCGAAGGCAGCCAUCUGGCCUAAUACUGACGCUGAGGUACGAAAGCAUUGGGAGCAAACAGGAUUAGAUACCCCCGUAGUCCCUGUCUCUUAUAC